rnacentral:rRNA from 1 species
CCUACGGGCGGCAGCAGUGAGGAAUAUUGGUCAAUGGACGGAAGUCUGAACCAGCCAUGCCGCGUGCAGGAAGACGGCUCUAUGAGUUGUAAACUGCUUUUGUACAAGGGUAAACCUGAACACGUGUAUUCAGCUGAAAGUACUGUACGAAUAAGGAUCGGCUAACUCCGUGCCAGCAGCCGCGGUAAUACGGAGGAUCCAAGCGUUAUCCGGAUUUAUUGGGUUUAAAGGGUGAGUAGGCGGAUUGAUAAGUAAGUGGUGAAAUGUCGAAGCUUAACUGGGAAAGUGCAAUUAAUACUGUAAGUCUGGAGGGUAGAGGAGGGAGGAGGAAUGUGUGGGGGAGCGGUGAAAUGCUUAGAGAGCACAAAGAA